AACUCCCGGUAAUCGGGGCUAAUGCCGGAUAACAUGUUGAACCGCAUGGUUCUACACUGAAAGGCGGCUUUGCUGUCACUUAUACAUGGACCCGCUCCGUAUUAGCUAGUUGGUGAGGUAACGGCUCACCAAAUCGACGAUACGUACCAGACCUGAGAGGGUGAUCGGCAACACUGGAACUGACACACGGUCCAGACUCCUACGGGAGGCAGCACUAGGGAAUCUUCCGCGAUGGCCUAAAGCCUGACGGAGCAUCGCCGCGUGAGUGAUGAAGGUCUUCAGAUCGUAAAACUCUGUUAUUAGGGCAGAACAACUGCGUAAGUAACUGUGCGCGUCUUGACGGUACCUAAUCACAAAGCCACGGCUAACUACGUGCCAUCAGCAGCGGUAAUACGUAGGUGGCAAGCGUUAUCCGUAAUUAUUGGGCGUAAAUCUCGCGUAUACGGUUUUUUAAGUCUGAUGUGAAAGCCCACGGCUCAACCUUGGAGCGUCAUUGGAAACUGAGAAACUUGAGUGCAGAAGAGGAAAUUGGAAUUCCAUGUGUAGCUGUGAAAUGCGCAGAAAUAUGCAUGAACACUACUGGCGACUGCUACUUUCUGGUCUGUAAUUGACACUGAUGUGCAAACGCGUGGGGAUCAACCAGGAUUAGAU
rnacentral:rRNA from 1 species